rnacentral:rRNA from 1 species
AGAGUUUGAUCAUGGCUCAGGACGAACGCUGGCGGCGCGCCUAACACAUGCAAGUCGAACGGAGUUGUGUUGAAAGCUUGCUGGAUAUACAACUUAGUGGCGGACGGGUGAGUAACACGUGAGUAACCUGCCUUUCAGAGUGGAAUAACGUUUGGAAACGAACGCUAAUACCGCAUAACAUGAGAGAACGGCAUCGUUCUUUCAUCAAAGAUUUUAUCGCUGAGAGAUGGGCUCGCGGCCGAUUAGGUAGUUGGUGAGAUAACAGCCCACCAAGCCGACGAUCGGUAGCCGGACUGAGAGGUUGAACGGCCACAUUGGGACUGAGACACGGCCCAGACUCCUACGGGAGGCAGCAGUGGGGGAUAUUGCACAAUGGAGGAAACUCUGAUGCAGCGACGCCGCGUGAGGGAAGACGGUCUUCGGAUUGUAAACCUCUGUCUUUAGGGACGAAAAAAUGACGGUACCUAAGGAGGAAGCCACGGCUAACUACGUGCCAGCAGCCGCGGUAAUACGUAGGUGGCAAGCGUUGUCCGGAAUUACUGGGUGUAAAGGGAGCGUAGGCGGGGAGACAAGUUGAAUGUUUAAACUAUCGGCUCAACUGAUAGUCGCGUUCAAAACUAUCACUCUUGAGUGCAGUAGAGGUAGGCGGAAUUCCUAGUGUAGCGGUGAAAUGCGUAGAUAUUAGGAGGAACACCAGUGGCGAAGGCGGCCUACUGGGCUGUAACUGACGCUGAGGCUCGAAAGCGUGGGUAGCAAACAGGAUUAGAUACCCUGGUAGUCC